UGGGGUUUUGUUCUUUUGGUCUAAAGAUUUGAUUUAUUUGUGGGAACAUGUUGGCUGAGUCGUUCUUGGAGAUGUUUUUUAUUUUGUUUGUCCAGUAAUGGUUUAUAGAAAUUGCGAAUUUUUGUUUCAGUUUCGCUUUUAUUCUGUGUAGUAGGAACUUUAGGAAUUCUAAUUCUUCUCUUUUGUCGUAGGAAUAGUUGAGUUUUAUAUUGUUUAUUUUGGACAGUAUGUAGCUUUUAUCUCGCUGUAGAUCUUUUAUUUUAUUGUUUAUAUAGGGCUCGCAUGAGUUUUUUUGUUUUAUGAUUGGCACGGAUUUUUGGAGUGCGAUUUGUGUGUGUUUUUCUAUUUCGUCUAAGAACGAGUCGAUUUGUCUGUUUGUUAGGUUGACGUUGUUGUAGAUCUUUAGGUCGCAGUUUUGUUCGAGUGUGUUUUGGAACUUUUUCCAGUCUGUCUUUUUGUAGUUGUACCUGGGUGUCUCGGUCUGGGUUUCGAGUGUUAGGAAGUCAGAUGUGUUUUUGUUUACGUGAAAUACUAGGGCGUUAUGGUCACUGUCAUAGGCUAAGGUUUUGAGGGUGUUAUUUGGACGUAGGUUUUGGAAUUUUAGUCGCGCAUCUGCUAGGCAUAUGUCCAGGUAUGAGCCUCCUUUUGGGUAAGAGGGUAGCUCGGAGCUGUAUAAGUUUGUUUUGUAGUGGAUGCUUUUAUUGUCUAGCCAGUUUCUAAUGAAGUUGCCUCUCGUGUUGUUUAUUUCAUUUUUCCAGCUUGUAUGUUUUGCGUUAAGGUCUCCUGCUAUUAUAUAGUAGUUUUCCGGUUUGUUGAGCUGCAAGAGUUCGAAAAGAUUAUUGAAUUCGUAGUUAAAUUCUUUCUGGCCUCCGUAGGUUGCGUAGGCUGCAGUGAUGAAUAAAUUAUCCUUAUUGCUUAUUUUUAUUUUUAUGAUCGUUGUUUCUAAGGUUCUGAAACUUGUUAUUUUGUCAAUUAGGAUCGUUUUGUAUUUUAUGGGGUUUUUUAUGAGGAUCGCUGUUCCUCCUCCUUGACUGGCGUUCGGUCUGUCGUGUCUUAUCAUGGUGUAGUUUUUGAAGUGUACCUUGUGUCUUUUGUUUAGUUUUGUUUCUGAGAUGAGUACCAUAUCGGGGGCUUCUUUAUUUAGUAGGGUUAGCAUACUGUAUCUUUUUUGGUUUGAAAUUAAAGAAUUAGCAUUUAUUGCGAUUAUUUUCAGAUGUUUUAGGUUAAGUUUAUGUGUUUUUUGCUGUGGUUGUUGGUUUGGCGUGUUUUGGUUAUUCGUCGUCUGUGCUAUUGAAGGUGCUGAAGAUGGCGUCGAACCUUUCUUCGUGCGUUGAUAGGGUGUUUUUUAUUUCGUUUAAUUGUAUUUGUUGUUCUUUUAACGCUUGGAGGAUGCCUUUUUUAAAGUCUUCGAUAACGUUUAUAAUGUUUAGAUGGGGGGAGCUAUCGGUUGUGAUUGGGCUUUGGCUUGAACGCGGAUCUAAGUUUGCUGAUUGUGGGAAGAUUUUGGUUGUUUGAUUUAGUGUUGUUUGCUGCUUCACUACGUCGGAGAACUUUAGUUCUGGGAUGUAUUUGCGGCUUAUUCGGGCAAUUCGUUGUGUCUUUGCUUCUUUGUCUUUUUUUAUUUUAUCGGCCAGCUUUUUACGAAGCUCUACGAGUUUGGGGCAACCUUUGUAUGACGCGGGGUGUCCGUAGUUUUUGCAGUUGACGCAGAAUAUUUUGUCUUUGGUUACUGCGUUUUCCCUUUUUAUUUUGCAGUCGCCUGGACCAUGGGGCUCACUGCAUUUAACACAGCGGUAGUUUAGGUUGCAGUUUUGCGCUGUGUGGCCUAGUCGCUGGCAUUUGUGGCAUUGAGUUAUGUCAUCCUGUUUUUUUAUUAUUUUUUCCCAUUUUAUCUUGUAGUAGUUAAAAUGGUUUAUUUUUAGAAGAUUGUUUAUAUUGCUGUCGGGGGAUAGCUGUAUUAUGUAGAUUGGGAGCAAUAUAUUGUUCUCCCUUGAUUUUUUUGUCGUAAAUCGUGAGACUUUUGUAAACUGGACGUCGUUUAUUUGUAGAGCUUGUAGGUCUGUGAGUAUUUCUGUUUCGGUGUAACUAUUGUCUAAACCUUUUAACAAGUAUGUAUGGUGUUUCUCUGUUUUGGGUGUGUACGUGUAAGAGGUUGUAUUAGCUGAGAGGAGUAUUUGUUUUGCUUUGUGGAAAUCGGGUAGGUUUUGGAGGUAGAGUGCGUGUUUACCUGCGUGUAUUCUUUUAAUGUGAAAUUGUUUAAUGUCCGCUACUUUCUCUAUGAGCGUUACGGUGUCCUUGGGGUCUUGUAG